rnacentral:rRNA from 1 species
AUUGAACGCUGGCGGCAGGCUUAACACAUGCAAGUCGAGCGGGGGAAGGUAGCUUGCUACCGGACCUAGCGGCGGACGGGUGAGUAAUGCUUAGGAAUCUGCCUAUUAGUGGGGGACAACAUCUAGAAAGGGAUGCUAAUACCGCAUACGUCCUACGGGAGAAAGCAGGGGAUCUUCGGACCUUGCGCUAAUAGAUGAGCCUAAGUCGGAUUAGCUAGUGGGUGGGGUAAAGGCCUACCAAGGCGACGAUCUGUAGCGGGUCUGAGAGGAUGAUCCGCCACACUGGGACUGAGACACGGCCCAGACUCCUACGGGAGGCAGCAGUGGGGAAGAUUGGACAAUGGGGGGAACCCUGAUCCAGCCAUGCCGCGUGUGUGAAGAAGGCCUUAUGGUUGUAAAGCACUUUAAGCGAGGAGGAGGCUACUUUAGUUAAUACCUAGAGAUAGUGGACGUUACUCGCAGAAUAAGCACCGGCUAACUCUGUGCCAGCAGCCGCGGUAA